rnacentral:rRNA from 1 species
CCUACGGGGCGCAGCAGUGGGGGAUAUUGCACAAUGGGGGAAACCCUGAUGCAGCGACGCCGCGUGGGUGAAGAAGCGCCUCGGCGCGUAAAGCCCUGUCAGCAGGGAAGAAAAUGACGGUACCUGAAGAAGAAGCCCCGGCUAACUACGCGCCAGCAGCCGCGGUAAUACGUAGGGGGCAAGCGUUAUCCGGAUUUACUGGGUGUAAAGGGGGCGCAGACGGCGAUGCAAGCCAGGAGUGAAAGCCCGGUGCCCAACCCCGGGACUGCUCUUGGACCUGCGUGGCUAGAGUGCAGGAGGGGCAG